AACAAACGCUGGCGGCGUGCCUAAUACAUGCAAGUCGAACGAGGAAAGCUUUCGGGUGAGUACUAGUGGCGCACGGGUGAGGAAUAUAUGGGUAAUCUGCCCUCGAGUUGGGGAUAACCAGUCGAAAGACUGGCUAAUACCGAAUAAGACCACAGGAUCUGCGGAUCUAGGGGUUAAAGGUUUUUCGCUUGAGGAUGAGCCCAUACGGGAUUAGCUAGUUGGCGAGGUAAUGGCUCACCAAGGCUACGAUCCCUAACUGGUCUUAGAGGAUGAUCAGUCACACUGGAACUGAGACACGGUCCAGACUCCUACGGGAGGCAGCAGUAGGGAAUAUUGCACAAUGGGGGAAACCCUGAUGCAGCGACGCCGCGUGAGUGAUGGAGGCCUUCGGGUCGUAAAGCUCUGUCGUAUGGGACUAACACAAUGAAGGUACCAUGCAAGAAAGGAUCGGCUAACUUCGUGCCAGCCGCCGCUGUAA
rnacentral:rRNA from 1 species